rnacentral:rRNA from 1 species
GAAUUUUGGACAAUGGGCGAAAGCCUGAUCCAGCAAUGCCGCGUGCAGGAUGAGGGCCUUCGGGUUGUAAACUGCUUUUGUACGGAACGAAAAGCUUUGGGUUAAUACCCUGGAGUCCUGACGGUAACGUAAGCAUAAGCACCGGCUCACCACGUCACCGCACACGCGGUAAUACGUAGGGUGCAAGCGGUAAUCGGAAUUACUGGGCGUAAAGCGUGCGCAGGCGGUUUUGUAAGACAGAGGUGAAAUCCCCGGGCUCAACCUGGGAACUGCCUUUGUGACUGCAAGGCUAGAGUACGGCAGAGGGGGGUGGAAUUCCGCGUGUAGCAGUGAAAUGCGUAGAUAUGCGGAGGAACACCGAUGGCGAAGGCAACCCCCUGGGCCUGUACUGACGCUCAUGCACGAAAGCGUGGGGAGCAAACAGG